GAGGGGUUUACAAGACCUGCUAACUCUUUAAUCUGGCAUUAACAUCCGGGCCCC
rnacentral:tRNA from 1 species